GUGUCAGCAGCCGCGGUAAUACGGAGGGUGCGAGCGUUGUCCGGAAUCACUGGGCGUAAAGGGCGCGUAGGCGGCGCGAGCAGUCGAUCGUGAAAGUCCGGAGCUCAACUCCGGAUCGGCGGUCGAUACUCUCGUGCUUGAGCACUGUAGAGGCAGAUGGAAUUCCGGGUGUAGCGGUGGAAUGCGUAGAGAUCCGGAAGAACACCGGUGGCGAAGGCGGUCUGCUGGGCAGUUGCUGACGCUGAGGCGCGACAGCGUGGGGAGCAAACAGGAUUAGAUACCCUGGUAGUCC
rnacentral:rRNA from 1 species